UACCUCGGGACCUGGGAUAGCGGCGGGAAACUGCCGGUAAUACCAGAUGAUGUCUCCGGACCAAAGGUGUGAUUCCGUCCUAAGAGGAGCCCACGUGCUAUUAGCUAGUUGGCAGGGUAAUGGCCUACCAAGGCGAAGAUGGCUAUGGGGUGUGAGAGCAUGCCCCCACUCACUGGGACUGAGACACUGCCCAGACACCUACGGGUGGCUGCAGUCGAGAAUCUUCGGCAAUGGGCGCAAGCCUGACCGAGCGACGCCGCGUGCGGGAUGAAGGCCUUCGGGUUGUAAACCGCUGUCGUAGGGGAGGAAGGUCUUGUGCAGAACAAGACUUGACCGAUCCUAGGAGGAAGGGCCGGCUAAUCUCGUGCCAGCAGCCGCGGUAAUACGAGAGGUCCAAACGUUAUUCGGAUUCACUGGGCUUAAAGAGUUCGUAGGCGGUCUGGAAAGUUGGGUGUGAAAGCCCUCGGCUCAACCGAGGAACUGCGCUCAAAACUACCAGACUUGAGGGAGAUAGAGGUGAGCGGAACUGAUGGUGGAGCGGUGAAAUGCGUUGAUAUCAUCAGGAACACCGGAGGCGAAGGCGGCUCACUGGGUCUCUACUGACGCUGAGGAACGAAAGCUAGGGGAGCAAACGGGAUUAGAUACCCCGGUAGUCCUAGCCGUAAACGCUGAGUACUGGACCGGAGCCCUGCACAGGGUUUCGGUCGUAGCGAAAGUGUUAAGUACUCCGCCUGGGGAGUAUGGUCGCAAGGCUGAAACUCAAAUGAAUUGACGG
rnacentral:rRNA from 1 species